rnacentral:rRNA from 1 species
AACACAUGCAAGUCGAGCGGAAACGAGUUAACUGACCCUUCGGGUGACGUUAGCGGCGUCGAGCGGCGGACGGGUGAGUAAUGCCUGGGAAAUUGCCCUGAUGUGGGGGAUAACCAUUGGAAACGAUGGCUAAUACCGCAUAAUAGCUUCGGCUCAAAGAGGGGGACCUUCGGGCCUCUCGCGUCAGGAUAUGCCCAGGUGGGAUUAGCUAGUUGGUGAGGUAAUGGCUCACCAAGGCGACGAUCCCUAGCUGGUNUGAGAGGAUGAUCAGCCACACUGGAACUGAGACACGGUCCAGACUCCUACGGGAGGCAGCAGUGGGGAAUAUUGCACAAUGGGCGCAAGCCUGAUGCAGCCAUGCCGCGUGUGUGAAGAAGGCCUUCGGGUUGUAAAGCACUUUCAGCAGUGAGGAAGGCGGGUACGUUAAUAGCGUAUUCGUUUGACGUUAGCUGCAGAAGAAGCACCGGCUAACUCCGUGCCAGCAGCCGCGGUAAUACGGAGGGUGCGAGCGUUAAUCGGAAUUACUGGGCGUAAAGCGCAUGCAGGUGGUUCGUUAAGUCAGAUGUGAAAGCCCGGGGCUCAACCUCGGAACUGCAUUUGAAACUGGCGGACUAGAGUACUGUAGAGGGGGGUAGAAUUUC